CGUUAGGCUUUCAGGGGAUACUACCAGGCUUGGGACCGGGAGAGGUAAGAGGUACUACGGGGGUAGGAGUGAAAUCUUGUAAUCCCUGUGGGACCACCAGUGGCGAAGGCGUCUUACCAGAACGGGUCCGACGGUGAGGGACGAAAGCUGGGGGCACGAACCGGAUUAGAUACCCGGGUAGUCCCAGCUGUAAACUAUGCUCGCUAGGUGUCAGGGACGGUGCGACCGUUUCUGGUGCCGCAGGGAAGCCGUGAAGCGAGCCACCUGGGAGGUACGGUCGCAAGGCUGAAACUUAAAGGAAUUGGCGGGGGAGCACUACAACGGGUGGAGCCUGCGGUUUAAUUGGAUUCAACGCCGGG
rnacentral:rRNA from 1 species